ACAUAACUGAUGCCUCCGCGUAUCGACUUUGUGCGCAUUUUAGCUAUUACGUGUUCUUUUAAUUAAAAUGAUUCUUUUUAAGAUUCAUCUAUUAAAAAUUUGCUUCGGCAUAAUUUUUUUUGAUGAUCUUGUUACUUUGAGUAAAUUAGAGUGUUCAAAGCAAACAGAUAUAGCAUUUGUGCGUUUGAAUACUACAGCAUGGAAUAACAAAAUUGAACAAGUCAGAAUUUUUUUGUUCUUUUUUCUUAUUUUGGCUUAGUUACGAUUAAUAGGAGUAGCUUGGGGGCAUUUGUAUUCAGAUGUCAGAGGUGAAAUUCUUAGAUUUUCUGGAGACAAACAACUGCGAAAGCAUUUGCCUAAAAUACUUCCAUUAAUCAAGAACGAAAGUUAAGGGAGUGAAGACGAUCAGAUACCGUCGUAAUCUUAACCAUAAACUAUGCCGACUAGGCUUUGGAUGAAAGAUUUUAAAAUAAGAGUUUUUCUUUUCUCUCCGGAGAUUAGAACUCUUAGAUUGCUUCCUUCAGUGCCUUAUGAGAAAUCAAAGUCUUUGGGUUCUGGGGCGAGUAUUCGCGCAAGCGAGAAAGUUAAAAGAAUUGACGGAAGGGCACCACUAGGCGUGGAGCUUGCGGCUUAAUUUGACUCAACACGGGAAAACUCACUAGUUUAAGACAAGAGUAGGAUUGACAGAUUAAUAGCUCUUUCUUGAUUUCUUGGAUGGUGAUGCAUGGCCGUUUUUAGUUCGUGAAUAUGAUUUGUCUGGUUAAUUCCGAUAACGAACGAGAUCUUAACCUGCUAAUUAGCGGCAAAUACGAUAUAUUCUUAUGUAGAAUUGAAUAUAGUGGAUUUGUUGGAUUUUGAAGAAAAUAUUGGAAUUACGUUAAAUGUGAUUCCUUUCCCUUUUCUACUUAAUUUACAUUUCCAUCUAUUUCUUUUUUGCGUAUGAAUGUAUUUGCUUGAUUGUAAAGCUUCUUAGAGGAACGAUGUGUG
rnacentral:rRNA from 1 species